rnacentral:rRNA from 1 species
GACGAACGCUGGCGGCGUGCUUAACACAUGCAAGUCGAACGGUGAAGCGCCUUCCUUUUUGGUGGGUGUGGAUGAGUGGCGAACGGGUGAGUAACACGUGAGUAACCUGCCCCCUUCUUCUGGAUAACCGCAUGAAAGUGUGGCUAAUACGGGAUAUUCUGGGUCUGUCGCAUGAUGGGUCUGGGAAAGAUAUUGUUUCGGUGGGGGAUGGGCUCGCGGCCUAUCAGCUUGUUGGUGGGGUGAUGGCCUACCAAGGCGGUGACGGGUAGCCGGCCUGAGAGGGUGGACGGUCACACGGGGACGGAGACACGGCCCAGACUCCUACGGGAGGCAGCAGUGGGGAAUAUUGCACAAUGGGCGCAAGACUGAUGCAGCGACGCCGCGUGAGGGAUGGAGGCCUUCGGGUUGUGAACCUCUUUCGCCAGUGAAGCAGGCCUGCCUCGUUUGUGGGUGGGUUGACGGUAGCUGGAUAAGAAGCGCCGGCUAACUACGUG